GGGUAUCUUGCUGGAGAUUUCUGCAUGCUUGAGGCUUCCUGGAGAGUGUGGAGGGGAGGAAGGAAGGAGAAGGGGCUUCAAAAUUGUCACAUUUAUGUAUCUUCCUCUGAAUCCACUCAAGACUACUGGCCGUUCCAAGCACAAGUAGUAUCCUCUCACUCCAUUUACACCCCGAGCCCCAGUACUUUAUCAUCUUUGAGUGAAUGGCCUUCAAAUUUGGAAAAAGUAAAGUGGUACACAAAUGGCUCUUACUUUCAUACAACAAAGCUUCGAAAAUUUGGAGGGAGCAAGAAAACCAAAAAGCACGAUCACUUUUGCUUCUUCCCAUCUCUUUCCUUUGCUGUCAUUAUGACUAACACAACACCCUUGGUGAUGGGCUGUAAAUGGUGCAGGGGAAUGUAGAAAAAGUAUUUUAACUUACCUUUGUUUUCACAAAUCUCCUACCAAUAGUGUCUUUUGUAGACAUUCCCUCUCUUCCUAUCAAAGCCUAAACUUUUGGUCUAAGUUACUUGACAACGACCC
ensembl:lncRNA